rnacentral:rRNA from 1 species
CAACGCGAAGAACCUUACCAGGCCUUGACAUGCAGAGAACUUUCCAGAGAUGGAUUGGUGCCUUCGGGAACUCUGACACAGGUGCUGCAUGGCUGUCGUCAGCUCGUGUCGUGAGAUGCUGGGUUAAGUCCCGUAACGAGCGCAACCCUUGUCCUUAGUUACCAGCACGUUAUGGUGGGCACUCUAAGGAGACUGCCGGUGACAAACCGGAGGAAGGUGGGGAUGACGUCAAGUCAUCAUGGCCCUUACGGCCUGGGCUACACACGUGCUACAAUGGUCGGUACAAAGGGUUGCCAAGCCGCGAGGUGGAGCUAAUCCCAUAAAACCGAUCGUAGUCCGGAUCGCAGUCUGCAACUCGACUGCGUGAAGUCGGAAUCGCUAGUAAUCGUGAAUCAGAAUGUCACGGUGAAUACGUUCCCGGGCCUU